GACGAACGCUGGCGGCGUGCCUAAUACAUGCAAGUCGAGCGCAGGAAACUGACGGAACUCUUCGGAGGGAAGGCAGCGGAAUGAGCGGCGGACGGGUGAGUAACACGUAAGGAACCUGCCUCAAGGAUUGGGAUAACUCCGAGAAAUCGGAGCUAAUACCGGAUAGUUCAUCGGAUCGCAUGGUCCGUUGAUGAAAGGCGCUUCGGCGUCACCUUGAGAUGGCCUUGCGGUGCAUUAGCUAGUUGGUGGGGUAACGGCCCACCAAGGCGACGAUGCAUAGCCGACCUGAGAGGGUGAUCGGCCACACUGGGACUGAGACACGGCCCAGACUCCUACGGGAGGCAGCAGUAGGGAAUCUUCCACAAUGGACGAAAGUCUGAUGGAGCAACGCCGCGUGAGUGAUGAAGGUUUUCGGAUCGUAAAACUCUGUUGUAAGGGAAGAACACGUAUGAGAGGAAAUGCUCGUACCUUGACGGUACCUUACGAGAAAGCCACGGCUAACUACGUGCCAGCCGCCGCGGUAAAAC
rnacentral:rRNA from 1 species